GAUGUGAGUUAUAAUCAAUUCAACAGCUUCCACUCAGCGGCAGGUAACUUCACUUUCAUAUCCCAUCUCCUAUGUUAUUUUUAUUAUUGAAUACGAACAAACCAAUUGACAUAUUUUUAUUAAUAUAAGAACAAUAUUUUUUUAAUUAAAUCAUUUUUUAUAGAUUUCAUUUGAUAUUAAUUUCACAAAUAUUAUAAAAAUAAAAUAAAAAUUGCAGUUAUGUCAUAAUGAAAUUAAUUAAAUUGAAUAUUUCCUC
rnacentral:lncRNA from 1 species